GGGGAAAGAGAGCAAGCCUUGUUUCCUGUAGAGCAUUGUGGCUGGAGGUUGGGAGGUUUUUCAAAACACUUCUUGUGUGUGUGAACAGCUGCCAAACAUCUCACCAAGUGUUGCUGAGUAGCUUCUAACUUGGGUGAGCUCCCACAAAGGGUGAAGAGGACAAGGAGGUGUAAGCUGCAGAGCUGGGGCUGUGGAUUGGUUUCGGUGUCACAAGUGCUUCCAGGUAAUGCUGAGUCUCAGCAGCUUCAUGAGAGCUGGAUGUGAUGGGCUUGUGCUACUGCAAAGGGGUGUGCAAGUCUGGGGUUAUAACCUCAGAAAAAGAAGCCAGCAAUUACACCUGCCAGCAUUUUCCCCUGGCCACUGGUGCAAUUACCCAUCAAGGAUAAUUGACAGCAAGAUAAUAGGGAUUCUCACAAAGAGCUCAGGAAGCGUUAUGCUGAAAAAAGAAAUACAAAACUCAUCGCAGAACCCGUUGAAGCUUUUAUGGGCUGUAGGCUGUCAGCAUUUCCAUCGUGGUUCCCUGCAUGCAGAAGUCGACAAUUCAGCUAUAAAUAAUCACUGCUGGUUGGAAAUUGGGUGUGUAAAACUCUAGCUAGAGUCAAGUCAUCGUCUCUGUAAAAAGAUACAUAAAGGAGGUAUUCUAAACAACAAAACUUCUUGUCAUUCCUGUUACACUCAAAAAGAAUAUAUGAGCCCAACAAUAUGCUUUUAUUUGAUUUGAAAAAGAAAAAAAAAAAGAUUAUUUACCUACUUCUCCUCCUUGUACAUUUGUAACGUGAAAUUCCAUGGGAAUGUUAAAAAUGACUGUACUUUCUCCAAAGCUGUCAUCUAAAUUCAGUGGAAAAAAACUCCAGGCACAUCAGGUACAGCACAUCGCUCUUCACCUGUACACCAUCCGUGGCUGUAGGGUGCUCACAGCAGAGCUGCAGAAGCAGGGCAGCCCCAACUUCUCCUGCCCCUGGAGAGUGUUUUCUGGUGGGCCACCCAUCCUGACAGAGCAACUGAAUGUCAGCCUAAACUCCUACGGUCCUCUUGAAGAGGGGUCAGGGCUUUUUGAACCAUUACGUAUCUGGAACCAGCUCUUAAUGGUAAGAGCUGCAGGUUGUACUAAUCACAUAACAAAUGAGCACACUCUCUAUGCAAGGUUUUCUGUAGCACAGGACUGCACAGCCUGAAAUACCAGCCAGUUCCACUGGGACAGAACAUCUCUGGUCUUCUGGGCUACAAGGAGAAGUUCACUCAUUUCCCAAAUCUGAUUCCAUUCUGAUUUGAAAAGAAUUUAGAAGUAAUAUUUUCAGGCUGUGAUUACCUGUCAUAUCAAGUGAAGUGAUGAUAGCUGAGAAAGAUGCCUUCUUAUCUUUUCCUUUUGCUGUAUCCAGCUCAAGAUGGGUGAUGUUCACCUUCCCUGUUAUGUCUGUGAUACAAGCUGAUAGUCAAGAUUUAAUCCUGGGGAAUAGUUUCAGUCCCUUGAGCCUGCUACAGUGCAGCAGAUGCUCAAGUAGUCCAACUUCAGUUAAACUCUUAUGUCUCAAUUUAAAAACCAGAUGUAUUAUUUUGUAGUUAUAUUCCACUCGAGGUCCAACAACAGGAAAAAAUUAGAAAGAAGUGUGGUGUGAGUUGAACAGUUUUCACUUUAAUGGUAUUUUAAUAAUCAGGAAAGUCACCCAUGUAUAGUAACAAUAAAUUGCUUUGCUACAGGGUAAUAUAAACUUUAACAAGUAUAAUAAAUAUUUCUGCUUGACCAAGAAAACUGAAAUAGUGGAAACUGUUUAAAUGUGUGUAUCAGAAUGAAUGAAGAUGAAAAAAUGAUGAGUAUUAAAAAAAAUAAUAAUUUAUAUUUUUGUGUUAAAUCUCCAACUGUAUUUACAGAAAACAGAAUUUGGGACACUGAUUUGUUUUUUAAAAGCCACAGGAAAGAGACUGAUGUCAGAAGUACUAUAGCAGUUUAAGAGAUGUCCAGAUUUCAAGAUCCAUUGC